AUUGAACGCUGGCGGCAGGCCUAACACAUGCAAGUCGAACGAGUGGCGGACGGGUGAGCAAUGUAUGGGAAACUGCCUGAUGGAGGGGGAUAACUACUGGAAACUGUAGCUAAUACCGCAUACCAUCGGAUGUGCCCAGAUGGGAUUAGCUAGUAGGUGGGGUAAAGGCUCACCUAGGCGACGAGCCCUAGCUGGUCUGAGAGGAUGACCAGCCACACUGGAACUGAGACACGGUCCAGACUCCUACGGGAGGCAGCAGUGGGGAAUAUUGCACAAUGGGCGCAAGCCUGAUGCAGCCAUGCCGCGUGUAUGAAGAAGGCCUUCGGGUUGUAAAGUACUUUCAGCGGGGAGGCGUUACCCGCAGAAGAAGCACCGGCUAACUCCGUGCCAGCAGCCGCGGUAAUUC
rnacentral:rRNA from 1 species